CCCAGACUCCUACGGGAGGCAGCAGUGGGGGAUAUUGCACAAUGGGGGGAACCCUGAUGCAGCGACGCCGCGUGGGUGAAGGAGCGUUUCGGCGCGUAAAGCCCUCUCGGCAGGGAAGAAGGAGGACGGUACCUGACUAAGAAGCCCCGGCUAACUACGUGCCAGCAGCCGCGGUAAUACGUAGGGGGCAAGCGUUAUCCGGAUUUACUGGGUGUAAAGGGGGCGCAGACGGCAGCGCAAGCCAGGAGUGAAAGCCCGGGGCCCAACCCCGGGACUGCUCUUGGAACUGCGCGGCUGGAGUGCAGGAGGGGCAGGCGGAAUUCCUGGUGUAGCGGUGAAAUGCGUAGAUAUCAGGAGGAACACCGGUGGCGAAGGCGGCCUGCUGGACUGCGACUGACGUUGAGGCCCGAAAGCGUGGGGAGCAAACAGGAUUAGAUACCCCCGUAG
rnacentral:rRNA from 1 species